AAUAGCGGAGGAAAAGAAACCAACAGGGAUUGCCUUAGUAGCGGCGAGUGAAGCGGCAAAAGCUCAAAUUUGAAAUCUGGCGCCUUCGGUGUCCGAGUUGUAAUUUGAAGAUUGUAACCUUGGGGUUGGCUCUUGUCUAUGUUUCUUGGAACAGGACGUCACAGAGGGUGAGAAUCCCGUGCGAUGAGAUGCCCAAUUCUAUGUAAGGUGCUUUCGAAGAGUCGAGUUGUUUGGGAAUGCAGCUCUAAGUGGGUGGUAAAUUCCAUCUAAAGCUAAAUAUUGGCGAGAGACCGAUAGCGAACAAGUACAGUGAUGGAAAGAUGAAAAGAACUUUGAAAAGAGAGUGAAAAAGUACGUGAAAUUGUUGAAAGGGAAGGGUUUGAGAUCAGACUCGAUAUUUUGUGAGCCUUGCCUUCGUGGCGGGGUGACCCGCAGCUUAUCGGGCCAGCAUCGGUUUGGGCGGUAGGAUAAUGGCGUAGGAAUGUGACUUUACUUCGGUGAAGUGUUAUAGCCUGCGUUGAUGCUGCCUGCCUAGACCGAGGACUGCGAUUUUAUCAAGGAUGCUGGCAUAAUGAUCCCAAACCGCCCGUCUUG
rnacentral:rRNA from 1 species